AUACGGAGGAUCCGAGCGUUAUCCGGAUUUAUUGGGUUUAAAGGGAGCGUAGGUGGACAGUUAAGUCAGUUGUGAAAGUUUGCGGCUCAACCGUAAAAUUGCAGUUGAUACUGGUUUCCUUGAGUACGGUACAGGUGGGCGGAAUUCGUGGUGUAGCGGUGAAAUGCUUAGAUAUCACGAAGAACUCCGAUUGCGAAGGCAGCUCACUGGACUGCAACUGACACUGAUGCUCGAAAGUGUGGGUAUCAAACAGGAUUAGAUACCCUGGUAGUCCACACAGUAAACGAUGAAUACUCGCUGUUUGCGAUAUACAGUAAGCGGCCAAGCGAAAGCAUUAAGUAUUCCACCUGGGGAGUACGCCGGCAACGGUGAAACUCAAAGGAAUUGGCGGGG
rnacentral:rRNA from 1 species